rnacentral:rRNA from 1 species
CCAAUAGCGUAUAUUAAAGUUGUUGCAGUUAAAAAGCUCGUAGUUGAACUUCGGGGUUAGUAGGCUGGUCAUGCCUCCGGUAUGUACUGGUCUUACUGAUUCCUCCUUCCUGAUGAACCGUAAUGCCAUUACUUUGGUGUUGCGGGGACUUUGGACUGUUACUUUGAAAAAAUUAGAGUGUUUAAAGCAAGCUAACGCUUGAAUACAUUAGCAUGGAAUAAUGAAAUAGGACGUUCGAUCCUAUUUUGUUGGUUUCUAGGAUUGACGUAAUGAUUAAUAGGGAUAGUUGGGGGCAUUAGUAUUCAAUUGUCAGAGGUGAAAUUCUUGGAUUUAUUGAAGACUAACUACUGCGAAAGCAUUUGCCAAGGAUGUUUUCAUUAAUCAGUGAACGAAAGUUAGGGGAUCGAAGACGAUCAGAUACCGUCGUAGUCUUAACCAUAAACUAUGCCGACUAGGGAUCGGGCGGUGUUACUAUUUUGACCCGCUCGGCACCUUACGAGAAACCAAAGUGUUUGGNUUC